AUUGAACGCUGGCGGCAUGCCUUACACAUGCAAGUCGAACGGCAGCACGGGAGCAAUCCUGGUGGCGAGUGGCGAACGGGUGAGUAAUAUAUCGGAACGUGCCCAGUCGUGGGGAUAACGUAGCGAAAGCUACGCUAAUACCGCAUACGAUCUACGGAUGAAAGCGGGGAUCGCAAGACCUCGCGCGAUUGGAGCGGCCGAUAUCAGAUUAGGUAGUUGGUGAGGUAAAGGCUCACCAAGCCGACGAUCUGUAGCUGGUCUGAGAGGACGACCAGCCACACUGGGACUGAGACACGGCCCAGACUCCUACGGGAGCAGCAGUGGGAAUUUUGGACAAUGGGCGCAAGCCUGAUCCAGCAAUGCCGCGU
rnacentral:rRNA from 1 species